CGAAAUUGACAAAAAUACAGAGCAGUCGGGUAGGGAAAUCCUCUACACAAAACAUGCACAAAUUAUAUGAACAUAAAAUCUCAACGUUUACACACAUCGUCAAUGAAUGCACACACAACAACAACACAACCGCGUGGUAUUUCUCAUCAUAGCCAACGUACAUGUUCCACCUCUACACACAAACAUUCAUACACCAAGUCGUAGUCAUGCGGGCUCCACAUUCACUCACGUGUUUUCAAACUCGCGCGCUUGUGCUCACGUGGACGGCAUGCCGCUUAACGCUCUCUUCGUAUGGCUUCGUUGUCAAGAAAAUAGACGCGUACUCCACGCCUCUAGAUUUCGCUUGUCUGCACAAGGGUAUUUUCAAAUUGAUUUUGCAUUGUGAUCUCGUGUAAUCAGCUCAAAACUGAGUGCACCAUCGAAAUCAGCGAUCCCGGAAAUGUCCAGCUGGACAAGUUUGUAGCACCCUCGAUCGCUGUGCUGUCGAAAGGAUCCAAUGGGAUCCAGUUCUUAGCAGUCCCAGCCUAGUCAGAAGUACAAAGUCAAAUACCAUUUGCACAUCACCAAGAGGUACAAUCUGAUGAGUAAUAGGAUUCUGAUCUAAUAGCUUGCCAGGUUUCACAGGCUGUUUGAGUAUCACCAGAGCAGAUCAAGAAGAAAUAUGAAGGCCAUGCAGGUUCAUAACGAGCAGUUACUUCAUUGCAAUUACAGAUUUAGAAAAUUGAAUGAAUUUAAAUAAAUGUGUCAAUACAUAUGUUGCUUAAACUACACAUCUGUUGAAAAAAAAGAUUAAUUGGAGUAUAGAUAUUUAGGUCCAUAGGUUUCACACAAGAUUAAAAUAUUUUUCCAAAGGGCACACUUAUCCCCCCCCCCCUUUAUUAAUGUUCUAAUCAUCUACAUGGAGUACUUGUAGUAGUGAAAGCACUUUGAAUAAUAUAAGUAGUUUGAAAGGGAUAGGUUGUAUUCUGGUAAUCUAAACAAUGCAGAAUAGGCCUUUACACUGAG